rnacentral:rRNA from 1 species
AACGGCCGCGGUAUCUUGACCGUGCAAAGGUAGCAUAAUCAUUAGUCCUUUAAUAUGGGGCUGGCAUGAAGGGUUUAACGAGGAACUAGCUGUCUCAAUUUGAUUUAUUAAAAGUUAGCUUUUUAGUUAAAAGGCUAAAAUUUUGUUGGAAGACGAGAAGACCCUAUAGAGCUUUACAUUUACAUUUUGUAGGAUUAAUUUUGUUUUAUUUAUUUACUUCUUUANUUUAGGUGUUUUGUUGGGGUGACAUUAAAUAUAUAUUUAACUUUUAUUGUUUNUAGAACCAUUUAUUUAUGANAUAUUUGAUCCAUUCUUAAUGAUCUUUAGAAUAAGUUACCUUA